UACGGGGGGAGCUAGUGUUGUUCGGAUUCAUUGGGCGUAAAGGGAGUGUAGGCGGAAACCUAAGUCAGGGGUGAAAAUUUAAGGCUCAACCUUGAACUUGCCUUUGAUACUGGGUUUCUCGAGUAUGGAAGAGGGCGAUGGAAUUCCUGGUGUAGCGGUGGAAUGCGUAGAUAUCAGGAGGAACACCAAUUGCGAAGGCAGUCGCCUGGGACAAUACUGACGCUGAAACUCGAAAGCGUGGGGAGCAAACAGG
rnacentral:rRNA from 1 species